ACCCUUCACUGCAGCAGACAGCAAGUUAACGCCAAGAGGUUAACUCUUUAAGGACAACCACAGACGGAGCGACCGGCUUCCUCCGAUCUCUACAAGCGAACACUGCACAGCAAAAGACGCGUCCACCUUAUAUAUGCUUCCUUUAGGCAAUAUUAUUAGGAAACACUCUAUAAACUGUUUUCAGUAUCUUGGAAUAAACCAUUUAUAUCUACAGAGGGAGUGGGUCUCCCUCCACGGAGGCCGCCACGUUGCACUGCCAUGUUUCUACAGUAGCCCAGAAUGGACAAACAAACACUGACUCUAGAUAGGACCUUUCGCGUUUUUCGCGAGGUUCGUGGCCACCGUAGUUUCACCUACAGCUUGGAAGGGGAGGUCAUCACCAGAUGUCAACCCAAAUGGAGAUUUUGAAGCGACAUACACAGGGUUGUUGCAGCAGAGAAUACUGUUUCCUCAUAGGCUGCCAACAAAAUGAAGAACAUUUGUGCCAAAGGAUUCUCUGACCGGAAUCAUUUCCAUAGUGUACCAACCCAUACCAGCCAUUUCAAAAAGUGGUGGGGACAUGUCUGGGGACAUGAAAACUAACUCGGUACACGGUACUAACUAACUAACACGGUAUGUGUGAUUGUCUUCACAACUUUUUUCAAAGAGGUGAAGUCUCCAGUUAACACACUGUUAUCUUCCCAAUACUGAAGUAAAGAGCUUAUUAUCUUAGAGGCAACACACCAUAUCAAGUUAAAAUGUUUUCUCGCCUCAUUCCCUUAUUGUGCACCACAGUAAAUGGACUGCCAGUCCUGUCCAUUACUUGCCCGUUGUCAUGCUCAUUUGAAACCAAUGUGGUAGUGGAGGAAAACAGGAGAGUUUACUUCUAUGUAAAGUGAACCAGUCUGCUCCGUACAUCAUCUAUCAAAUUAAGUCAAGCAGCAAAAACAUGAAUGUUUAACUUGGAAUGAAGGGUAACAUUAAAAUUACAGGUGUACCAUGAUAUUAUGGUGACGUAUUCAAAGCUGCAGAACAUGAUAUGUGGAGGUGUUAUUUUAACAGCCAGCUCAUAUAAUGUGCACAUUCUGCUAAAUUAAUUUUAAACUGUCACAUCAAUAAAGAUAGCUAUUGGCUGUAUUUGUUUCCCACAGCUAAUUGUCAGGUUUGUUGUUAUGAUACUAUUGAAUUGCUACUAAUUCUUUUAAAGAUACAAUUCAGUUAGUAAGGUUUUUAUUGGCCCACAGCUCUAAUUGAGCAUAUAUUUGCCAAGGUUGAUAGGGUUGUUAAUCAUUAACGAUGACUCAUUGAUUUCUUAGCCAGGUCCUGAAACUCCCCACCCACUGGAAUUUCAACAGACUCCCAAUUCCCCACAACCUCCUGGUAUUUUCAACUACUCAGCCAUGGAAGACAGUGCAAUGAGUGAAGUAGCUGAGUUGCAACACUUUUCAGGCUAAAAGCCUUGUCCUCCAGCCAAGAGAUCAACACAGAGUAGUGAGAUAAAUCCAGGGCUGCCUGGCAGUAUGUGUUCUCUGAGUUCCCAGGAUGCUGAUGGCUAAAAAAUGAUAAACGUCAUCUUUUAUUCAAAGCAUAUCGUAAUAUAAUGAGCAUACAUAUCUUUAGUAUAGAUGUAUCCAAUGAGAAUCAGAACUUUGACCCCUACCUCGUGUCUUUGCAUAUAUUGCAGUGAUGUUGAAAAUGAUCCAUGAAAUUACUCUUCAGAGAGAAAUAGAUCAGUUCCACUGAACUCGUUGAUUUUAUUAUUUCCUCCGAAUUUUAAUGAGAGAUGCUUAUUAAAUAGUAUGGGCUUCAAAUUCCUGGAGGAAUGUCUUUUUUAAUCUACUGACGCCACAAGACAUGACAUAAACAAUACCUCUCACUGGGAAAUUUCUCAGAGGUCAGUUGUCUGGAGAACCUCAUCAGAUUCUGAGGAAGAUUGCUUUUAAUCCACUAUUGACCAAAUCCUCCUCAUUUCAGUUCAAGAUUCUUUUUGUUUGCAGUUAUAAUAAACAUAAAAUAUAAUGAGAUUGAAAGUUCACUGUUGACCUUGGAAACAGCGAUGUCAACUGUUUUGUCAACUGCUGUUUCCAAGGGUCAGAAUGAACUUUCUAGACCUAAAACUGCACAGAAAAAAGGAAAUUUGAGAUCAUGUGAUACAAUUGAAAGCUCCAGAACAACUACUGAGUGAAACCUGCGAUGAGGUUGUUUAGUCAAAAAUUAUGUUUGUAUACAAAUUUAUGUUUUUGAACAUUUUUAGCCCCAUUCCAACAGUCUGAAUCCAAUUGCACCACAUGUUCUUUUCAAGAAAAAGUAUGGUGAGUGGGGAAGUAAAUAUUCGUUUUACUAGCCUAUUUUAGAAUCGUGCAUGCAUCUAUUUUAUCUGGAUACAUUAUAAUGCGUUGCCAUAGUCAGUGAAACUAACUAUGAAACUACCAAACCGCGGCUGGGCCUCAGGGCUGGAAGCGGGGAGCUGCUGCCAUCCCACAGGAAGUAAUGACUGCCGCGAUCCAACAGGGACUGGAGGAGGCGGCGGCAGAGCAGGCAAGCAGCUGGGAGGCAGAGCAGGUGAGCAGCCUGGAGGCGGAAAAUGCGAGGAGCUUGGGGGCGUAGCUUUGGUGCAGACAAGUAGUGGGUUGAUAGGCUGAGGAAGGGUUGGUAGAGGUGUGGACGGCGAGCUGGUUGCCAAAUUGGUGACUGGUGGGCCAAACUCCCUCCUCCUACAAACUGGCCCAAAGAGUUGAGCCUCGUCUAGCGCCUAUAGGGAUCCCGCCCAGCUCAGCGCCGGGCCGACUAGCUGGAGAACUACGAAGGCUACCUUGGAACGUUCAGUCGGAAACUGGGGUGGAUACAGGUGGAAAAUUAGGUAACACUUCACCAGAAACUCCUCGCACUCCCCUGUUGAGCCUGAGAAGGUCCCCGGCUGCGCCAUCUCGCUGGCCGCCAGAGGUGGUGAAGGAUGGGUGAGGAGAUACCGCUGGACCAGACUCUCCAGGUCCAGGAAGGGGCCAUCGGGACUCUGGGCUGUCAUACUUAUGGUAUGGUCCGACUUUCUGUUAUAAUACAGGCAAGGGACACCGAGAUGGACCAGAAUGUUCUUUAUUGAAUGACCACCCGAGAUAAAGGGUAUGGAGAGAGGGAAGUCUGUAGGAGGGAGAUCACAAGAGGCGGGGAGAUCACUGGAGGCAGGGAGAUCACUGGAGGCAGACGGGGAGAUCGCUGGAGACAAGGGAAAUAAAGACUAUGCCGAGUGACAUAGAGAGUCCUGGAUUCAAACGAGGUCGGACACAUACUGAGGUGAGUGCAGGUCUUUUGUACUGGCUGUGAUUGUGACUAAUGGGGAGCAGGAGUGUAAUUGGGAGCAGGUGUGUGUGAUUGGUGGAUGGUAGAGCCUGGCGUAUCUGUGACACAGGGUUACUCAAAACAUUUCUGUCAAAGCAUAGCAUUCAAUCUGUGUUUCAAAAACCUCUGUAACAAAAUGAAGUAUUAAUAAUAAAGCAAUAUUAUUAUUGUUAUUGAUUGCCAGAAAGUAGAGCCAGACCCGUAUGUGAAAGGGUAACUGUCAUAUCUCGACUCAAUAUCCUAUUGAAAUUUGGCCGGUUUUGAUGUGUACAAAUGUUACCUAUCCUAAAUUACUGAGUGUCUUAAACAAAUUGAAUAUAUUGAAGUAUAAAGUUUUCUGAAACAAACUCAAGCUCAAUGUUAAGUUCUUCUUCCCAUGGUUUUUUUUCAAUGAAUGUACUGUUCCUAUAAUUCCCUGAUUCUAAGCGUUUAUAUCAAUAAUAAAAAUCUAACAGUGGCAUUGUUCUAAACACAACUCUAAACAAGAUGAUCAAAAAGAUAAUAUAAAAAGAUCAUUUUAAGAUGUUGAUGUUGUUUUUGCCCCUUAUAUUAAAAGCUCUGCCAACAGACGAUGACAUAAUCAUGUGAUUUUGUGUGAUAGGAGUGAAGUAAAAGCAAACUGGUGGGUGUAUCUGACACAUCAAAAGCCAACUCUCUGCUUGCUGGAUGGGUCAAAGUGACAUGUAUUUGUCUUCAGUCUUGUAUGAAGGUAGAAAUGUGAUAGCAACCUAAUGGGUACCAUUUCUGUUGCUCCAGAUGUAGAAUGUCAAAAUUUUAUAGCAACACCAUGCACUAAUUACUGUGCAUGACAGAAUUUAAAAUGGAGUGAGUGAGCUCCUGAGAGAAAAUUUAGGAAAUUAUAAUUCAUUGCUUGUAAGCCACUGGCUGUGCCAAAACAACCAAGCUUUGAGGGGCUAUAAACAGAGCAGCACAGAGGGAGUCGACACAAAGUUCAGGGGAGCUAGCCAGCAUCCCGAUAUUUCACCCUUCACUGUUUCAUCUAACCACAGAGCUGUGAAUCAUGAUGAAAUCUCCUCGCUAAGUGACUGUGUAGAUCUCCAUGAACUACCACAGAGUUUACACUCUCCUGGACUCCCACACCCAAACCUCUUUCCCUCCUUUCCCAUUUCUCUUCUUGGCCUGUAAACCUGAUUAACAUCAGAACCAACAGUGAGAGCAGGGGUCAGUGUUAAUGCGGAAAAUGGCUACCACCCUUUUCAGUGGGUCGCACUUUCCUCACAUUGAGCUGAACAAGAGAGAGGGAGGGAGGGUGGUAGAUCGCAGGGUCCACCGGAGCGGUUCAUGUGGACUGUGGCCCUCUGCAUUGAAUGAAAGUCAGUCAAGCAUGAUCAGUCAUCCUACACAGUACAGGAACAUGCCUGCUGUUGAGUUGUUUACAUAUCCCCAAAAUGACUCUGGAGUGGGUAAUAUGUGCAAAUCAAUGAGCAGAAAGGGAGAGAUCUGGGCAAAUGCUGCAGCCCCUGAUGUAGGCCAGGCUGACAGUACAUACCCCUAUGAUGGAUUAGUGCAGCUGGCAAAUUACAUCUCUCUAAUUGUGCUUUGUAAAGUGCGUUACCAUGUAUCACUCUUCCUUUAAUCUCAGCUAAACUGAGGGCUGAUGUGUGACAGAGGAAAGCAAAGAGUGGACCAAGCACAGGGCUUAAAUUCAACCCUUGAAUUGUUUCAGUUAAAGUUUGGUGCAAAGAAGGAUAGGAUGAGACAUAUAUACGGAUAAUUCCAGUUUAUCAGAACUUGGGUCAUAUAUUUGUAGAUUUGGUUAACAGCAUUGUAUUAUGAUUGCCAAGAGUGUCUGUUGUAAACAUCCAUCACUGUUUACAUCACACUUCCUGCUUCAACUUUAACCCACUGUAUUUAAUAGUUCAGCAAUCCUCAAACAAACUAGUUUGUACAAAGUGUCAUCCAAACACGUCUAAAGACAAAGUGUUAUAC